UUCGACUCCUGUAUUAUCUUUGGUAGGUGAAUUUUGAUAUGCAUUCUUUAACUCUUUGAGAGGGUCCUCGCUGGUAGAUGAAUCCCCCUUGACCCACUCUGGCCCUGAUUUGCACUGCUUCUCAAACAUCAUCUGAAGGCUCACUAAGCUGGUGCCUAGCGGUCUCUUGCAAAAUUUUCACAAAUCAACACGCCAUACCUCAAGUUGUUCAUGAAGUCUCUUUUGUACUUCCAUCUGCAACCGCAGAGCUUCAGUGAUCUCAAUACCCCUGAUCCAUAAUGUUCAUGGAGCACAAUAAUCAGCCAGAAAACAUAAAGGUAUAAAGCCUCUCAACAUUGAUCUAAGGCAGUACAUGAUUUUUUAUAAAAUAUGUCAAUAUUUCAUGCAUUGUGCCAGAUCCAGAUUGCUUGUAAGUGCUGUCUUAAUUUAAAUCUUGAAACCAACGCUUGCAAUUUAUGUGAACAAAAACAAGAAUGAUUCAUAGUUCACAGACUAGUAAUCCUCUCGAAACAAAAUAUGUAAGAUCAUGAAAGAGGAAAGUAAUUUAUUUUUAAAAUGGUGAGGCUCUCUGGAGUUUGCAGAGUUACUUCCUUUCCAUUUUCAGUGAUUAUUCAGAAUAUAAAAUGAGAACGCCAUGUUCUUUGAUUGGAGUACCAUGUGGAAGAGCUAUCUGAAGCUCAUGCUGAAUCCCUACUGCAUUUUUAUACAUUAAUUGUUUGUGGUGGUUCCCUAGUUUUGAAUUUUUCUAAUGUCCAAAACAUAUAGUGUUAUCCUUUCACAAACUUUAAUAGCAUAACCAGAAUCCUACUUGCAGUCCUGCUGUUACAGGUUAGUCAAAUUAUUGAUACACAUCUUCAACUAAACACAUAAACCUAUAAAGUGAUUGAGGUAGGUUUUGUACAAAAGAUCAACAGUAAUUAAACACAGAAUACAAGAGGCAUGAGUUGUGGCUUGUGUAUGUAUAAGGGCAGGGCAACAGUCGUAAAUAUUUCUCUGAAUCUGAUGCUAUUAUACUCUUGACUAGUGUUCUUUAAUCUCAUAUGUGUUCUGUUUUGGGAUCCCUCAUCCCUCUGUAUCUAAUUCUAUUUGCAUUAACAAAUAUGUCUUCAGUUUGUAUAAAAAAAAGUCAGCAGUAGAACUGAAUCAAACAAGGGAAAAAAUAAAAAAUAAAAAUAAGAUUCAUAUGGCUAUUACAGGUGGACUGCCCUCCCAUAUGGAAAGGGAUUCUAGACCAACUUAUAUAUUGGGGUAUACCCUCACCCCUGAACUUAUUUCCCCUGUUUUGUGGUUCAUAAGAAAACCAUACUUCAUACUUGGCGGCACAGCUGGAUAGCCAGCCAGGAGGCAAGGGUCUGGAAAGGGCAGCAUGUGAUGGGUACCCUUCUAAAUCAAUGAAGAGAGCGACCAAGUUUCUAGCCUGUGAAUUUGGUGACUAGCCAGCCAGAUAAACUUAUUCAGUUAUUAUCAAAUAGGGGACUAGCCUGUGAAUUUGGUGACUACAUACUAAUCCAAGUUUCUAUUCCCCUCAAGAACAACAUGCAUUACACAAAAGAAAAUAUAUCCAUCUCAGAUGUAAGGACCCAACAAAGGGAAGUAAACUUACGUUUUCAAGUCGAGAGAUGAAAGUUCUUCAAUUGAAGUUUCUCUCUCCAAAGAUUCUGCAA